AUCUGGCUUCGAUUUUUUACCCUCCAGAGGCAAAUAAUCUAAUUAUUUAUUCAAUAUCAUAUAUAUGUCUGUAUCAGAAAACAGAAUAAAAGUGUAAAAUAACACGUGUCAUAAUCUCGUGUUAACGAAGUCAUUUAUAGUUCAAUAGAGUUUACACCUGUGUUAACGAUUAUUAGAUAAAAAUAUAACAAUAUUAAAUGUCUAUUAUUAAUAUCGAAAGUCCGUAUUAACAUAGAAGAAUCAUAUGCUUCAGUCAGUACGUUGACACAUUUGAGGAGCAUAUUUUACCGUGUGGCCUCUUUUCAUGUGAAAGUUAACUAUUCCGGUACGCAGAAAUCGAAUCAGGGCCGGCAUGAGAGGUAUCGUUCUCAAAUAAGGUUGAAAGCAAUGAAACCGAAUAUUAAAAAAAUGAAAUUCUGUUUAUGCUACGUCAAUUGACCGGCUGUAUUUGCGUCUGUUACGUACGUAAACACAAUUACAACGUUGUAGAUAUAUGAGAGAACAAUGCACUGCGUCAUCGCAUAAAAAAACCGACAGACAAAACGGCAGACGUUAAUAACGAAUGCCAAACAUUUGGCUUCCAGGAACGAUCUACAUUAAGUCCAAGGGCUUUGAAGAUUCGUGGUACAGCACUACCGUAUUCUGUACUCCUGAUCAACAGACGCUGACCUCACACUGUUAGCGAAUGGCUGACGAAAUGUUGCGAGAUAUUUCAACAUUUUAAAAAACCUAUUGUUUUACAAUUAAUUUUAAAUCCCAAGAUUGUAAAAAUACGACGUCGUCUUCCGUCAAGUAUUAUUCAAAGUUAUCUAUGCAAUAUUUUUUUCUCAGUCAUUAUUUUUUACACAAAUGUAUUUAAAAUUGUAAUUAAGUAACGUAAUCACGGUUUUAGUGUGUAAAGAAUAAAAGAGGAACUUAAGGAUAGAAUUGAAAUGUAAAAUGGUGUCUGAUAGAGAUUAAAAGUAUAAUUAAAUAUAAUAAGAAAAUUAUAAUAACAUGAUACAAGUGAUUUAAUACAGUGUUUCAUACAUUAGUAAUUAAUACUACUAAUUAUGUUAAACCAAACAGAAAAAAAUUGAAACAUGUUGUGUACCACGACCGAAAUUCUUAUCUUUAAAUAUUGUUUUCGUUUGUCACUGAUUUACAUUUACAUCUUGUUUAUGGUUGCAAAUUCCGACAAACUUGUGUAAUAUUCUUGUACAAAUCUCGUAAACAGCGAUAUUAUAUUACCGGACAAGAAUUACAACAGUGACGUAAAUUAAUCUGGUUACUGUUUUCAAUUUACCGGUAGCAAAGUCGAAAAUAUUUGUAUACUGUAUAAGAAUGUUGCAUAAAAGCUUCGAGAGAGCAUAGAAAGAUGUCUAUCGUUGAAAUUAUUACCGAAGGUAAUAUCCACAAGUAUUAACCGAAAUAUCUACAUUCUAAAUCACAUUCAUCGCAACGAACUUUUUCACUGUUUUAAAUACGUCGUGUUGCGAAAGGACGAGUAACAACGAAACAAUAAAUUCAAUGCCAUCAUCACGAACUAUCGCAUAAUUCGUAACUUUUUUGUCUGCAAUGCGAAAUCGACUGUGCAAAGGGAAAUCUGCACAACGCAUGCGUCGGAAAAUUAUUGGCUCUUAUCGCGCAUGUGUAGAUAAAUCAAGCAGUUCGGGAAGGGGCUGCGUUACAGUGGGGAGAGGUGCUGGAAACAGCUGGGAAACUAUCAAGGUCAUUUUGAAUGACAACUACUCUACGUCACACC